UCUUCUUCUUCACAGGGAAUAGGGGAGUGUUGCAGGGAGAUUCACAUUUGACCAGAGCACCUUUAGAUAAUAGACUUUCAACUUGUUUGUAGAUAGGAAGGGACUGGGCAGGCCUCAGAGGAUAUUGCGGUUUAUGGGGUGGAUUGACACCUUGGAGUAAUUUCACCAUGACAGGGGGGACUUGGAGACGUCCAAUGUCAUCUGGGCC